GAUGAACGCUGGCGGCGUGCUUAACACAUGCAAGUCGAACGAAGCACUUUAUUUGAUUUCCUUCGGGACUGAUUAUUUUGUAACUGAGUGGCGGACGGGUGAGUAACGCGUGGGUAACCUGCCUUGUACAGGGGGAUAACAGUUGGAAACGGCUGCUAAUACCGCAUAAGCGCACGGCAUCGCAUGAUGCAGUGUGAAAAACUCCGGUGGUAUAAGAUGGACCCGCGUUGGAUUAGCUAGUUGGUGAGGUAACGGCCCACCAAGGCGACGAUCCAUAGCCGACCUGAGAGGGUGACCGGCCACAUUGGGACUGAGACACGGCCCAAACUCCUACGGGAGGCAGCAGUGGAGAAUAUUGCAAAAUGGGCGAAAGCCAGAUGCAGCGACGCCGCGUGAGCGAAGAAGUAUUUCGGUAUGUAAAGCUCUAUCAGCAGGGAAGAUAAUGACGGUACCUGACUAAGAAGCACCGGCUAAAUACGUG
rnacentral:rRNA from 1 species